rnacentral:sRNA from 1 species
GGCCAACACUGGAAUCCGUCCGGAACUAUGAACAAUGGCAGCUACAGCGUAGUCAGCUUCAAGGAGCAAUGCAGCAGUUUAACCAGAGAUUCAUUUAUGGGAAUCAAGAUUUAUUUGCUACAUCACAAAGUAAAGAAUUUGAUCCUCUUGGUCCAUUGCCACCUGGAUGGGAGAAGAGAACAGACAGCAAUGGCAGAGUAUAUUUCGUCAACCACAACACACGAAUUACGCAAUGGGAAGACCCCAGAAGUCAAGGUCAAUUAAAUGAAAAGCCCUUACCUGAAGGUUGGGAAAUGAGAUUCACAGUGGAUGGAAUUCCAUAUUUUGUGGACCACAAUAAAAGAACUACCACCUAUAUAGAUCCCCGCACAGGAAAAUCUGCCCUAGACAAUGGACCUCAGAUAGCCUAUGUUCGGGACUUCAAAGCAAAGGUUCAGUAUUUCCGGUUCUGGUGUCAGCAACUGGCCAUGCCACAGCACAUAAAGAUUACAGUGACAAGAAAAACAUUGUUUGAGGAUUCCUUUCAACAGAUAAUGAGCUUCAGUCCCCAAGAUCUGCGAAGACGUUUGUGGGUGAUUUUUCCAGGAGAAGAAGGUUUAGAUUAUGGAGGUGUAGCAAGGUAGUGAUAAUAUGAAUACUCAGAACUUAGUUCCUUUCCUCCAAAGAGAAUGGUUCUUUCUUUUGUCACAUGAAGUGUUGAACCCAAUGUAUUGCCUGUUUGAAUAUGCAGGGAAGGAUAACUACUGCUUGCAGAUAAACCCCGCUUCUUACAUCAAUCCAGAUCACCUGAAAUAUUUUCGUUUUAUUGGCAGAUUUAUUGCCAUGGCUCUGUUCCAUGGGAAAUUCAUAGACACAGGUUUUUCUUUACCAUUCUAUAAGCGUAUCUUGAACAAACCAGUUGGACUCAAGGAUUUAGAAUCUAUUGAUCCAGAAUUUUAUAAUUCUCUCAUCUGGGUUAAGGAAAACAAUAUUGAGGAAUGUGGUUUGGAAAUGUACUUCUCCGUUGACAAAGAAAUUCUAGGUGAAAUUAAGAGUCAUGAUCUGAAACCUAAUGGUGGCAAUAUUCUUGU